GCAGGGGAUCGCAAGACCUUGCGCUGAUUGAGCGGCCGGUAUCAGAUUAGCUUGUUGGUGAGGUAAAAGCUCACCAAGGCGACGAUCUGUAGCGGGUCUGAGAGGAUGAUCCGCCACACUGGAACUGAGACACGGUCCAGACUCCUACGGGAGGCAGCAGUGGGGAAUUUUGGACAAUGGGGGCAACCCUGAUCCAGCCAUGCCGCGUGAGUGAAGAAGGCCUUCGGGUUGUAAAGCUCUUUCAGCCGGGAAGAAAACGCAUGGGUUAAUACCCUGUGUGGAUGACGGUACCGGAAUAAGAAGCACCGGCUAACUACGUGCCAGCAGCCGCGGUAAUACGUAGGGUGCGAGCGUUAAUCGGAAUUACUGGGCGUAAAGCGUGCGCAGGCGGUUUUGUAAGACAGGCGUGAAAUCCCCGGGCUUAACCUGGGAACUGCGUUUGUGACUGCAAGGCUAGAGUACGGCAGAGGGGGGUGGAAUUCCACGUGUAGCAGUGAAAUGCGUAGAGAUGUGGAGGAACACCAAUGGCGAAGGCAGCCCCCUGGGUCGAUACUGACGCUCAUGCACGAAAGCGUGGGUAGCAAACAGGAUUAGAUACCCUGGUAGUCCACGCCCUAAACGAUGUCAACUAGGUGUUGGGAGGGUAAAACCUUUUAGUACCGGAGCUAACGCGUGAAGUUGACCGCCUGGGGAGUACGGCCGCAAGGUUAAAACUCAAAGGAAUUGACGGGGACCCGCACAAGCGGUGGAUGAUGUGGAUUAAUUCGAUGCAACGCGAAAAACCUUACCUACCCUUGACAUGCCAAGAACUUUCCAGAGAUGGAUUGGUGCCCGAAAGGGAACUUGGACACAGGUGCUGCAUGGCUGUCGUCAGCUCGUGUCGUGAGAUGUUGGGUUAAGUCCCGCAACGAGCGCAACCCUUGUCGUUAAUUGCCAUCAUUUAGUUGGGCACUUUAACGAGACUGCCGGUGACAAACCGGAGGAAGGUGGGGAUGACGUCAAGUCCUCAUGGCCCUUAUGGGUAGGGCUUCACACGUCAUACAAUGGUCGGUACAAAGGGUCGCCAAGCCGCGAGGUGGAGCCAAUCCCAGAAAGCCGAUCGUAGUCCGGAUCGCAGUCUGCAACUCGACUGCGUGAAGUCGGAAUCGCUAGUAAUCGUGGAUCAGAAUGUCACGGUGAAUACGUUCUCGGGUCUUGUACACACCGCCCGUCACACCAUGGGAGCGGGUUCCGCCAGAAGUAGGUAGCCUAACCGCAAGGAGGGCGCUUACCACGGCGGGGUUCGUGAC
rnacentral:rRNA from 1 species